rnacentral:rRNA from 1 species
AAGUGAGAAUGCCGGUGUGAGUAGCGAAAGACGGGUGAGAAUCCCGUCCACCGAUUGACUAAGGUUUCCAGAGGAAGGCUCGUCCGCUCUGGGUUAGUCGGGUCCUAAGCUGAGGCCGACAGGCGUAGGCGAUGGAUAACAGGUUGAUAUUCCUGUACCACCUAUAAUCGUUUUAAUCGAUGGGGGGACGCAGUAGGAUAGGCGAAGCGUGCGAUUGGAUUGCACGUCUAAGCAGUAAGGCUGAGUAUUAGGCAAAUCCGGUACUCGUUAAGGCUGAGCUGUGAUGGGGAGAAGACAUUGUGUCUUCGAGUCGUUGAUUUCACACUGCCGAGAAAAGCCUCUAGAUAGAAAAUAGGUGCCCGUACCGCAAACCGACACAGGUAGUCAAGAUGAGAAUUCUAAGGUGAGCGAGCGAACUCUCGUUAAGGAACUCGGCAAAAUGACCCCGUAACUUCGGGAGAAGGGGUGCUCUUUAGGGUUAACGCCCAGAAGAGCCGCAGUGAAUAGGCCCAAGCGACUGUUUAUCAAAAACACAGGUCUCUGCUAAACCGUAAGGUGAUGUAUAGGGGCUGACGCCUGCCCGGUGCUGGAAGGUUAAGAGGAGUGGUUAGCUUCUGCGAAGCUACGAAUCGAAGCCCCAGUAAACGGCGGCCGUAACUAUAACGGUCCUAAGGUAGCGAAAUUCCUUGUCGGGUAAGUUCCGACCCGCACGAAAGGCGUAACGAUUUGGGCACUGUCUCAACGAGAGACUCGGUGAAAUCAUAGUACCUGUGAAGAUGCAGGUUACCCGCGACAGGACGGAAAGACCCCGUGGAGCUUUACUGUAGCCUGAUAUUGAAAUUCGGCACAGCUUGUACAGGAUAGGUAGGAGCCUUUGAAACGUG